rnacentral:lncRNA from 1 species
AUUUUUCAAAAAUCCAUUUUUUUUUAAAAUUCAUUUUCAACUACAGAUUUUUCCAUAAAAUAAUUUUAUACGUAAAUUUAAAAUUUGUUCUACUAUUUAAUCCCACAUUCACAAAAAAUACUAUUAUAAAAUAUUUUAUCCCAAAAAAUGGGGGUCAAACAGGGACAGUAUGUUAAAUUAAAUAAGAUAAUCGACGAAAAUCAAACAUAACUUCCUUCUUUUUUACAUUUCAGUCCUAUGCAAUCUAGAAUACCUACUUAUGAUUAAUAUUCAGAUAAUAGUGAUGAAAUAUCAAACCAUGUCGUGAACAAAUGCAACAUAGAUCACCAUAUGUUGAUUUCUCAAACUGAGCUACCAAAUUAUGAGUAUGAUAAGGAUAUUAGUCUCCGAUGCAAUUCCAUAUUUUGUUGUUCCUAGACAAUAUUAAGGAAGAAAGUGUAGCUAGCUACAUUUUUACUCAUUGCACCUUGGAGUUCUAUUCAAUAUGAGUACCAAACAUCCCUAAACAAAUUUGUGUACAAUUCGUUGCUGACAAAGCCCACUCAAGCCUCAAUUUUCAUAUUGACACCCAAUGCCAAUAAGCACUUACAUUCUGUACAAACAUCUGUCGAGUCCAAGGGUGGAACUUCUCCAAUAAGCUUCCAAAGAAGAAGCUUGUCUUCGUCCAUCCACUUGCUUGGAGUGCCUUUUUACUUGUAGGAUCAUUUUAACAAUAGGCAUCAUGUCUGUCCAAUUUCUUUGCGCAGUCCUUCGAUCGUUUUUGUGUCUACUGAAGUAUGUAUGGUUGUCCUUAAACACUAUACGUUGUUAUUUACUUCUUUAUGAUUGAGUGAUUGAAAUCAUGAAAUUUUCUUGGGGGAGACGGGGACCAGAUGGAAUUGGGAUUUUCAACACAGAAAAAACUAUUGUGGAGUUUUGAGAA